rnacentral:rRNA from 1 species
CCAAUAGCGUAUAUUAAAGUUGUUGCAGUUAAAAAGCUCGUAGUUGAAUUUUGGAUUCGGCCAAUUGGUCCAUCUUUUAGAUGAGUACUGGUUGUGUUGGGUCUAUCCGCCUGGUGAUACGUAAUGUCCUUUAUUGGAUGUUGCGGGUAGUCAGGACCUUUACCUUGAAAAAAUUAGAGUGUUUAAAGCAGGCUUAUGCCGGAAUACAUUAGCAUGGAAUAAUAGAAUAGGACGAAGUUGUUUUAUUUUGUUGGUUUCUAGGACAACCGUAAUGAUUAAUAGGGAUAGUUGGGGGCAUUAGUAUUCAAUUGUCAGAGGUGAAAUUCUUGGAUUUAUUGAAGACUAACUACUGCGAAAGCAUUUGCCAAGGAUGUUUUCAUUAAUCAAGAACGAAAGUUAGGGGAUCGAAGACGAUCAGAUACCGUCGUAGUCUUAACCAUAAACUAUGCCGACUAGGGAUCGGGCGAUGUUAUUUCCAUGACUCGCUCGGCACCUUAUG